UAAAUUAUUUGUAAUCACUCUUCAUUUGCAGGAAAGUCAAGUUUCUUUUAUGAUCCCCGAAUUCUCUCAUCUUUCUUUGGUCCUGCUCCUUCAGGCACCGGAUUUUUCACUCUAACUGGAGCUGCCUCAGAUUGAUCCAGAGAAGACAAAUUUCUUCUAGAGCAAACGCUUCAAAUCCACAGGAAGUUGACUCAGGAUUUUACUUAGCGGGAGUGUAAACUGA